rnacentral:rRNA from 1 species
GUGUCAGCCGCCGCGGUAAUACGGAGGGUCCGAGCGUUAUCCGGAAUCAUUGGGUUUAAAGGGUCCGUAGGCGGGCCUGUAAGUCAGGGGUGAAAGUUUGUGGCUCAACCAUAAAAUUGUCUUUGAUACUGCAGGUCUUGAGUCAUGGUGGGGUUGCCGGAACAUGUGGUGUAGCGGUGAAAUGCAUAGAUAUCACAUAGAACACCGAUCGCGAAGGCAGGUGACCAACCAUGUACUGACGCUGAUGGACGAAAGCGUGGGUAGCGAACGGGAUUAGAUACCCCGGUAGUCCACGCCGUAAACGAUGGAUACUAGCUGUGGGGACUUCGGUCUCCGUGGCCAAGCGAAAGUGAUAAGUAUCCCACCUGGGGAGUACGUUCGCAAGAAUGAAACUUAAAUGAAUUGACGGGG